rnacentral:rRNA from 1 species
AUUGAACGCUGGCGGCAGGCCUAACACAUGCAAGUCGAACGAGUGGCGGACGGGUGAGUAAUGUCUGGGAAACUGCCUGAUGGAGGGGGAUAACUACUGGAAACGGUAGCUAAUACCGCAUACCAUCGGAUGUGCCCAUAUGGGAUUAGCUAGUCGGUGGGGUAAUGGCUCACCUAGGCGACGAUCCCUCGCUGGUCUGAGAGGAUGACCGGCCACACUGGAACUGAGACACGGCCCAGACUCCUACGGGAGGCAGCAGUGGGGAAUAUUGGACAAUGGGGGAAAGCCUGAUGCAGCCAUGCCGCGUGGAUGAAGAAGGCCUUCGGGUUGUAAAGUACUUUCGGCGGGGAGGCGUUACCCGCAGAAGAAGCACCGGCUAACUCCGUGCCAGCAGCCGCGGUAAUUC